rnacentral:lncRNA from 1 species
GAUAAAGAUUUUUAAAUGUUGUGAUAUUAAAUUGAAGAUAUAUGUGGAAAGAACCAAAAUAUCCUUUAAUCUUGUGGUAUUGAACAUGUCAUAUGAAAAAAGAUACAUUAAAAGAGUCUUAAAAAAAAGGAACAAGAUAUUCUUUUAUAAACUAACAAAAAAGAAACUGGACACGAUAAAUUAAACAAAUAUAUGAUUUAACAUUUUAAAAAUAUUGAGAGAUUAUCGAACUACUUUCAACUAAUACUAUAAUGUUACACGAACAAACAAAAAAAUUAUAAAUAUAAAAUGUU